rnacentral:rRNA from 1 species
AUUGAACGCUGGCGGCAGGCCUAACACAUGCAAGUCGAACGAGUGGCGGACGGGUGAGUAAUGUCUGGGAAACUGCCUGAUGGAGGGGGAUAACUACUGGAAACGGUAGCUAAUACCGCAUACCAUCGGAUGUGCCCAGAUGGGAUUAGCUAGUAGGUGGGGUAAAGGCUCACCUAGGCGACGAUCCCUAGCUGGUCUGAGAGGAUGACCGGCCACACUGGAACUGAGACACGGCCCAGACGCCUACGGGAGGCAGCAGUGGGGAAUAUGGCACAAUGGGGGGAAGCCUAAUGCAGACAGGGCGCGAGUAUGAAGAAGGCCUGCGGGGUGUAAAGUACUUGCAGCGGGGAGGCGGUACCCGCAGAAGAAGCACCGGCUAACUCCGUGCCAGCAGCCGCGGUAAUUC